GAUCUUUGACAGCUUUAAAGGAAUUUGCACAAAGGAAGGAGACAGCUGCUGUUCUGAUGAAGGAUUUUUCUGAGCAGGCCUCCCAAGCUAGACGUGCCACUAUGAGAUGCUGCCUACGCUUUUCAUCAUGAGCAACAGGUGACUAAUCUGCAAUCAGAAACACUUAGCAGGAAUGGAUCAGUCGCUGUUAUGAAGUUUGAGCUUAUAGCAUUUUUUCAUGCUGGAAUGCGAGGGCUAAGAAUGUGUUGACACAGUGCAAUUGAGGACUUCCAGACACAGUGAAAUCCUUGCAAGAGACAUCAGAGAGUGGAUUGGCAGAGUUUUAGAAGCCUGGCAGCUGUUAGCCUGCUGCAGCAUGAGGAAGAGUCUUCAGUCUCUCCAAUGUACAGGAAAGAGAAGACGAAUUGUAGUAAAUGUCCACCUUCGAUACUGAGGAAAAGGCCACCCGUGAACCAAGCUGUGAGCGAAAAGCGAAAAGCAGAGAGAAGGGUUCGAUUUCGUGAGCCAGAGAUCACUGGAUAUGACAUUUCCUGCUGGGACUACAGAGUUGGUAAGUUGAAGUUUUACAUUAUAACUGUGGGCCGUCCUUGGCACUAACCUGAGAUUGCCUACCUGCUGCUGCGAUUAAUUGUGCAGCGAUACUCCAUGAAUAGGAAUUGUUUCAUGCUGUCAGUGUUUUUGUGUGUGCAUGAAGCACAAUAGGUGAUCAGUUCUGCUCCAGUAUUUUAAACCAACAGAGGGUAAGACAAAUAGAGGAAACAAGAAUUCAGUUCCUGGAGCCAUGUUUAAUUUAAACAUAAUUAAUACAUUUUAUGGCAAUAAAAUGGGUCCAGGUUUUUCA
rnacentral:lncRNA from 1 species